AGUUCGGGUCAGGCCGAGCAGACUGCCACGAACGGGCCGGCUGACCCUUGCUUUAAGCAAGCUUCAUGUGGAGUAGGUUUUCGAUUCUUCCCAAAUCUCCAAAACACCACCCCUUCGACUCUCGCCCGCGUCGCUGCCCGCCGCCGUACUUCGGUGCCUCGUUCUUCUCGUCUAAAGACUCCGGCUUCUGUUUUCUGGAAUCCCACCUCCGCCGGCCUCCUCUGCCAGGUGCUUCAUGGCCGUCGCCUUGUCCUCGGUGGGAUUAUGAGCGACCACUACGAGUCGAGAAGCGGCGGCGAGGAAUCCCUUGGCCGUCGCCUUGUCCUCGGUGGGAUUAUGAGCGACCACUACGAGUCGAGAAGCGGCGGCGAGGAAUCCCUUGCCCUGCCCCUAACGAGAGAUGAAGGAUGGGUUGGAUGUCGUGAGGAGCAAACUGGACGUCCUCACACAGAAGGCGUGCAUACAGUAAUAUUCAUGUAUGCACGCACACUGCGCGUGCUUACUUGAUCUUUGUUUUUCCCGACUCCCACAAAAUAGUGCCCGAUGCUUCUCUUCCGACGCUCCUGUCGAUGGCCACCGAGGAUGAGAGAUCCCGACGGUGGCCACUGUCGAGACGAAGACGACCAAGCACGAUCUCCAGCUCAGGUAAGGGCGACUCCCCGACCGAUGUCGCGUUCGCCAUCUCUCUCUCGUUGUCUUGACUCUCGAGCGCCCACUUCUUGAUCGUUACCAUUACCUGGGAAUUAGGGUAUUGGGAUGAUGAUCAACUAGUUCUACUAGGUCUGAUGAUGUUCUGUGGUUUCUUUCGACGCUACCUGUCUGUCUGCGUGCAUUGCCAAGUUAAUCGAGAAGGAGACGUCUCGGUAGACAAAACAUUUGACAUUGUUGAUGUCUAUUUAUUGUUGAAAAGGUGUUCCUCUGGUUUUUAGUGCAAAUCAGCAGAAAUUUGGUUUCCUGAA